AAUGGUAGAGGUCGCAUCGUUAAUAAGUAGUUUUGUGGAGUUAAGCACGAAGAAGCAAAAUGAAAGGUAACUAUGCCGAAAUAUAUAAGUAACGCUUUAAAUCUUAUAUGUUGGGGUCAUGUAUAAUAUAUAUGGCACUGUCACAAUUAUAUUGUGGAGUACUAUCUUU
rnacentral:ncRNA from 1 species